GCCCAGGUUUGAAGCCGGGCUCUGCCAUGGUACCUUGGGCAAGUUACUUGACCUCUCUGUGCCUUAGUUUCUCAUCUCUGAGAUGGGGGUAAGAAUACCUGUCUCAAGGAGUUAUUGUGAGGAUCG
rnacentral:snoRNA from 1 species